rnacentral:lncRNA from 1 species
AUUUGAGUUAUUGUGUUUUGUGUGGGGUCGCUGCCAGGUACCAUAUCUUGGGGUUUAGUAGAUACUUUUUUAGUACAUAGAGAUGGUAUGGCCUAGCAUACCACAUCCCUUACAUAGAAUAUCUGCUCCAUCGAAGACAAUUUGUUGUUUUAGUUGGCCUAUGUGAAUAUGGGUUUUCACUGGGACUCCAAGGGGAACUUCAAUACAUAUUCUAGCGUAUCUACCUCGUAAAGUAGCAGAGGUGCAGAUAUUAGUCUCGACGAGUUUUUCAAGUUUACUCCCAAUCUUAGAUAGAACUAAAUGGUCGUAGUAUUCAGUGGGAAGUUCCAGCAAUCUAAUCCAUAUUGCGGAAUGGUGCUCCGUCGCUUCAGAGGCUACAAAGUUUGGGUGCCAUCUCUUUACGGACAGGAAGAAAAGCGUGGUCUUCAUAUUAUCCUCUUUGAGUAAUUUUACCGUAUAGUAAUGAGAUCCUAGAUUUAUUAGUACAAGGUCUUCAGUUGGCUUCCAUAAUUGUACUAGGCGCUUCUUUAAAUAUUCAUGACUGACUUUUUUGGUGGCUAAUUUUAUAAUAACGGAGUACAACCAUGAUCUGUAUAUGCCUUCUUUGUCCUCUUUGACAUUGCAAUUUGAUCCUCCCCAAGAUCUGUGUUUAUUUCUGUGUCCAUGUUUGUAUCCUGAGGGCCUGGGUUAUCAAUUACUUGGUCAAAAUUGGACAAAACAGGCUGCUCGUCAGUCGAAGGCACCGUCUUAGUUAGGGCGGCUUUGUAGUUGAUAGGGUUUGUUACCUGAUAAACGUCUUCCAUCAUGUUUUCAAGUGGGUCAAGUGGUACAUCGGCCAUAACCAGAAUGUGGGCGGAGUAGUAUAGAGAGAAGUCAGAGAAAAUCUUUCUAGAGAGAGAAACUCAUUUAGAAGUUUUGGAAAGAAAAUUGAUAUUAUAGACUUGAAAUUGUAUGUAAAAAUUUGUCUGAAUUUAUUUAGAAUUGAUCUUUCGAACUCGCUCAGAUCCUACACUCUCCUUUUGCCCUUAUUCUCUAGUGACACAAAUUUCUUGUACAGUAUUUCAUUUGACCCAAUCUAAAUAGAACAGAUUAAAUAGGUACAAAGUUUUUAAAAGAUAACACACUUGCACUUUAUAAUAAACUAGUAUAAUAUCCGCGCGGUGCGUGGAAAAUUAUUAACACAUAUAAAUUAUUAUAUCAAAGUAUUAAUUGAUUUGUUUAAGCCUGUUAAAUCAUACAUUUUAACAAUGUCAUAAAUGUUGCCUUAUCUCAUUGCAACUAUCCAACGAAUUUUUUUUUAUAUAAUCAAAUCAAAAAGUUAUAUACAGUAACUAUUGUAUAUAUUUUUAAUGAAACUCAAAUGUCAUAAUUAUAUAGUUUGUGCUAUAAAUAAUUUGAAUUGAAUUUAA